UUUUUUCUGAGGCUGAAGGGCUUAAUUUCUCUCUUGAACAUAUUUUAAGCAUGAAAUAUGUACUAGAAGGAAACUUUAAGAAAUGUAGUGUAUUGAUGUGUGAUUAAGGAUCCUGAACACUUUUGUUGCUGGAAAAGCUAAUAGUAGGCUGAAGUUGGUUGUGCCAGCAUUUUGAUUUUCUGAAAACGUCUCAGCUCUAAUUUUGCAUGUUCCCUGGCCUUAAGUAGUGACCAUUAGAGAUGCACCUCUGCUGGAUGGCCACAAACCCUUUGUUAUGCUGAAGUGGAACCAUGUCUUCUAAAUAAAGGGUCUGACUAUGGCUGGACACAAGGGGCAGCUUCAAGAGGCAGAGGGGGCUCUGCAGGUGAGGGUCCAGUUGUGUGGUUUAGUGUUAAAAACACCUGGAAUUAGAAAUACCAUUAAUAGACAGGACUCACUGGAGCCCUGCCUGUUGGAAUUUGGAGUCUGGUGCUCCUGAGCCCAGUGGAACCAAACAGCAUCUCUGCAGAAGUAGAGGAAAACAACACAGUGUCUCAGGUGAAGGCAGAGUUUUCACCUGGAGAGUUUUGUUGCAGGUAAUCGUGGAAGCACAAUAAAGGGUGGUUUUGCAAACCCAGCUCUUGAUACAGACAUCAUCCUAGUGCUGGGUCCUGUUGGCCUUUGAAACUGGUGCUCUUUUUCCCAAACAGGGUAAAAACCUCAAAAUUUUGAAUAUCUUUAAAUAACUUUACUUAUAGGCAUCCCUGCCAUGACUAAAUGUACAAAUCAAAUGUGACAAACAGUGAAGCUAAUGAGUUAGCCACUUUUCCACUCUCCUUUUGUGCAGAGAAGUGAUAAAGACAAAUAUGAAAGUACAAUCUAAGGUCCUUGAAUUUAAUAGUAAGAGGUAAUUUUUAAAAGUAAAAAAUUUGCUCAUAGGGGUUUUCUUUCUUCAAGCUUUAGUCUCCUAUCUGAAAGGCCAACCUCUAUUUGGAUGAGGGAAUCAAACUCUUUAGUUAAUGUAAACGGAUGAGCUGAAUUUGAAAGGGAUUGAGGGAAGGGGUGGAACAUCUAAAGGUUACAUUGUCAUUAGUUUUAUUUCAGUUAAAAUAAUUGUACAUGUUUAGUUUAAAAUGGAGAGGGAAAAGUACUUUGAAAUAUAAUUACAUUUAGCAGUCUUGUAGCUUUGUACUUUGUACUAUAAAUUGCGUUCCCAGCUGUUUUUCAUCUCCUGUAAUUUAAAUAAGUAAACCUUUUGUUCUUAAACUCACUUAGUUCCUUCUAAUUCUGUUGAUGGACAUCCAUUUCUACUGCUUUAUUUUAUGUUAAUAUUUAACAAUGGCAUGCAGUUACCCCCCUGCCGGCCACUGCUCCACCUCCUUUGUUUCUGGAAGGCCUCUUUUUGCCUUGGUCUUUAGUUUUAUAGAAGAAUCCAAACUUCCUGUCCCUGCACCUAGCAGGAGUAAGGUUUCUGCAUAAACUGACACGAAAUCCCUCGGAAAGGGCCUAGCCCCCAAGCAGGGAAGGUGGUGCUAGGCUGUCAGCCUCUUUUGUUGGUUGCUCAGAUGGAAGUAUGGAGUGGAUGAUGCUUUGUGGGCCAGAGUAAAGCUGUGCCAAGGGAAUGCAAAUCCACUAGGUGUGCCCAGGUAAUUUAAAAUGCUCACGCUGGCAGCUUUUCUGCAUGAGUAAAGCUGCUUAAUUAAUGCGUUUUCUCCACUUUCUUUUCUUGACAAGUUGAUUCGAAUUGAAACGGUCUGUAAUAAGCUUGUCACGGGUCUUGGGGACAAAUAAACCCUCUCCUACAGGUGGAAAAUAAAGAGUCUGUGCACUUUGUGUUUCUCUGUGACCAGAAUGGUUGGUGGCAGGUAUGGCAGACUGGCUGACAGGGUUAGUCAGACUACAGCCCCCACUGACAACCCACACUGUGGCUUGGCUUCUCACUGGUGCCUAGAAAGUCAGGUGCAGGACUUCAGGCAGGAGAAUUGGCAUCUGUCGUGGCUUUUCUUCUUCCCCUACUUUUACACAAGGACUUUGAGAGUAGUGUGAACGUAGUGGACACUGUGUUCAGCAGUUCAGUAGUGGGCACAGCAGCUCAGGCACUGCUCCUCUGGUCUCCCCCUCCUCCAUCCCUCCAGAGAAAGCUUAUUUUUAACUUGCUCAGCCUUGCUGUUUGACAGAAGUGAACAUGGAGGAGACCUGAGCCCAGGAUCAACAAAGGCAGCACUGGGCAUUUCAGCCACUGCCUUUGAAAUAGGCCUUGACAAUAAUGGAGUUGGGAAGCCCCACUGUUCAGCCUUCUUUAUAGUGUUAAUAACUGUCCAGAAAGAAGAGAAGCAAGAAAUUGCUCAGAUUUCAUCUCUCAGAUUUCAUCUUGCAUCUAGAGUGCCGCAACAAAUCAAACUGAAAUGGGCCCCUCCAUGGCUUCUGCACUGCCAUGCCGAGCUGUCCUGGGCCCCUUCUCCCCCCCGCUUCGAGCUGAGUGCUCAAAGCAGGCUGGCUGGGGGCAAACACAUGUGCUUCUCAAUUGCACAAGUGUCCUGCUAAGGACGGACUCAGAAAUGAAUUGGUUUAUAGAGUUUGCAGUUGGAGGCUGAGGCAGGUAGCAGGUGCCCGGUGACACAGAGCGAGGCCAGAAGAGAUGUCUGCUCUGCCUGGUCACCCACCUUGGCUGUCCCCAGGACACAUCUUGCUUCCUUUGGAUGUGCAGGGGCAGUUCUUGCUAAAGGAUCAACAUGAAAAUGAGACGAGGGCUUGGGGUGGCCAUCUCUUCUGGCCCAGGCUUUGGGGGAAGAAGGCCCUGCCAGUGACAGCAAUGUUUGGUCAGUGCUGAUAGCAAGAAAAUAUUGCUUAUUGUUUAACAAAUGCAAGCUCUUUGGUGCCAUUGACAAGUGAUGCUAUUUUUUUUAUGCAUUAUCAUAUUAGUGGAGUUUGGAGUUGCAUGCCUAGUCCUCAGGGAUGCGCUGGGAAGAGUGCUCAAAGUCCAGGAGGACAAGCACAGGUAUUAUGUAUUGAGUUACACUUUAAUAACUGAUAAGAGUUGCAGAAAUAUUUAGCUUCAGGAAAAAAAUCCAGCAGUGAAAUAUACGAAGGAGCUCAUAGUUUUAAAGCAGAACAAUGAUAAUCCAAAGAUGUUGCAGCUUUUCACAUUCGUUGUCUACGUAGUAGGAAAAACUCUGACACCUGCAUUGAUUUAAAGGCUGCUUGGACCAAUAAUCUCCACUCUCUCAAUAAAUUGAAGCAGCUGGAAUGCAUUCUCAUGUUGCAAUAGACAGUGCAUGGUCUUCAGCAAUUUCCUUAUUAUCUUUCGUAAUUAGCAAAUCAAAUUUUUGUCUUUAAUCCUCUUGCAUCCAGGGAUAUUUUGUGCUCAGAAGGCUGGGAAGUAUGUAGGCAGAUUGUCUUGCCGGUUGGAAUUCCCCAGGGCACUGGGGGAAAUACGGAGGAAGAGGGGCUUCUGGCCCCAGGUCUGAUGGUAGUUUUUUUGAUUGUCUGAGUAUUUGGAGCUGCAGUGUUACAGCAUCCUUUCCCAAGAAAUGAAGCACAGCAGAGAGGGAACACAUGCUAUUGUGUUCACAUCUGGCAUUAACAUAUAAAAUUUGAGGCAUAUGAAGUUUCUUCCCAUACAACUAAAUUAAAAACCUGUGGCAUAAGGUAAACUGACAAGUGCAAAACUGCUUGGGUGGGACAUUUUAAAUGGUUACAAAUGUCUCCUGAAAGCUGUUUCUGGAAGAAUGUUACUGAGCAGGCUGUCUCCAGGCUCACUGCUUAGCAAUGUCAGAGAGGGCUGCCCUGUUGCCAUAAUUGAUAUAAUUUUUGGGGAGAAAUAUCUUGUUCUGGUUGUGAAGACAACACUGCUCCACAGAACCUGGGGCAGAGUCCAAGCUGCAGAGCUGAGUUGUGCCAUGUAAAAUAAGCACAUCUUGGCUCUCUUUGGAGAAGAGGACUGGGCAGGCACAGUUCACUGGGUAAACUGGUGCAUGCUGAUAGCUAUUGACUUGCACACACAUUAUCUCUGUGUUAGGCAACAUGUUUCUCAUUUGGAUUUGCAGCUCGUGGGAUGUCUCAAUUGGGGUAACACACUAGACUGUCCGCUCUGGGGAAUUCUUUCUUGACUUAAUUCAGUGUUUCAUAUUUCUGCUGAAACAGGACCUGGUCUAAAUAACACAGAUAGUUUCUGUGUGACACUGAGGCAGGUCCACGGUAAUGCUGCUGCACUGUCUGUCCUUAGAUGUAGGGACUAUGAGCUCUUAUGUUUUUUGUCAUCUGGACUGUCAAGGGGUGUGGAAAAAAAAGUAGGAAGGAGCUUGACUUCCAAGGAGCUGUCUGCUGACAACAUCCCUUCAAGGCAAUAGGAGCUGGAGUGCACAGCACUUCUGCAGCAGCAGGUCUCCCGUGACGUGUCAACACCUUCCUUGCUUCAGAUCCUGGGUCCUGGGCUACACCAACCCCGACUGCUAAUGUAAGCAAAAGUUACGAAGGAUGUUGGGAACUACAGAUAAACUUGAAGUCACCUAGAAGUACUGUAGCAGGAUGAAACCAUCUUGGUCUCCCCAGCACUGAAAAUCUACUGCUGGGGUAGGGAGAAGUUUGACCAGUCCGUGUCCAGGCCUGGGUUCCUGUUUAGAUGAAAUUUGCUUGCAGCCCAUCUGGUGUUCAAAGAGCAAUGCAGUUUGUAUCCUAAUGGCCAUAGUUGUUUCCUCCUGAUGCUGGCCUCCACCGGCCCUUGUCUGUGCCGUGUUACUACACAAGUGUUACAUCUCUGUUGAUAUCUUUGCUGAUUUCAUUAGCAGCCCUGCCGUUUAUAGUACUUAUGUUGCAAACAUGGUCCUACAUGAAGGCACUUAGAAAGAUAUGUUAUGGCUGUAGAGACCCAAGUGAUCAAUAGCUUUUAGAUUACUGUGUCACUAAACAGCAGGCUGAGACAUGGAAAGGCACUGUUACUUUAGGGAUGAGAGAUUUUUAGAAAAUAAAUCAAUAGUGAAUACAGGCUGAUUGGUUUCCAGUUCAAAUAAUUCCAAGAAACAUGGAGCCCAGGGGAAACAGUGCCAUUCAUACUUGGAAAUAAACAACACAUGCUUGCUUUCAUUUAUGUAUUUGGGUCAGUACUCUUAGAAAUGGAGAGGGAGCCAUUGGACAGGGUAUUAGUGUGGAAAUGGGGAACUUGAGUUCUCCUUUGAGUGCUCCAAGAGACCUCUUCUCCCUGCCUUCCCCAGGUUCUCUUUGAUGCCGACAGCCCUCACUCUGGUUUUGCACACAGAAAACCUUCAGCUCGUGGGGACUGGCUGGUGUGAUCCCCAGUUGGAACCCUAACAGAAAUCUUGUGACGCUUCAGUGUGCGCCCCUUGACACCUCACCAAGGCAUCUGAAGAGGCAAGAUCAGCAGAGUAUGUCAGUACAGCCGCUCAGAAGGCGUCAGGUCUGAUACCUCAGGAACAUCAGGUUGAGCAGCCAGGAGUGAAGAGUUCUCUUGCACAACCCCGUGAGCCCAGUCUGCUCCCACCUGAAGUGCAAUCCACAAAGGCAGCUUUGGUGGUUGGGACUGAAGAGCGUGAGGGAGGACACUGUUCCUCCUCCUUUAUUCCAAAUACUCCUCCUUGUUUACCUGUGUUGCAGCUUGUUCAGCAGAGACUUGGGCACACUAUCCACAAUCUUUGUCUGAGACAGUCCCUUUUGGGAACAUACUCUUCCUACGCCUUGGAGACAGCUUGUGUGGACUGCACUGAGGAAAUGAUGACACAAACCCAGCGUGUGCUGCUGAGCAUGAUUUGUAGCCAAUAUUUUUACAACCUGCUUCUUGUUUUGUAACAGUAUUUAAUUGGUUUUUUUAAAAAAAAUUCAAAACUAGGUCAAUUUGCCAUUGGGCCUUGUAUGACUCUUUAGCUAAAUCUCCAGACUUUACCUAGAAGUUAAUUUGAGCCAGACUUAGGAAAAAUAUAUAUUAAUAUACCCAAAGUCUCACGUGAGAAACUUGUAGGCAACGAUUUGGGAUUCAGAGCCGUAUUCAAAUUCCUAAGACUAAAUUCAAAGCCGUCGUUUAAAAGCAGGCUUGCACGUGCUGUCCUGAUCUUUAAUUAGGCAAAACUCCCACUGACAUCAAUAGGAGUUUGACUUGAAUAAGAACUGCAGGAUCAGGUCCAUAAUUUGGUACCUGGGAUUUGAUUAAGCAGCUAAAUUACUAGAACAGUUUCCCCAUGUGUAUAAUUGCCUAAUUAAUUUUUAAAAUAGCGAAGUUCAGCACUGAAUGUGGUGUACCUCUUGCCACACGAAAUGUAUGCUGUUUAAUCCAAGUUGGUGGAGCUAUUUGCUAGAGCCUGUGGAGUUGAGUAGUACUGUUUAUUUAAAGUUCCAAAAUAGCCACCAUUGUGUUAAAAUGUCAUAUUCCAGAAAAUAUGCUCUUGUAAUAGAGUUCACUUGUAGUCUAGUUUGGCUAUUAGCAUUCCAAAUGUUUUUUAAAGAGUAGUGCUCUCUAUAUCCUAAUUCUUGAGUUCUGGCUACUGUGAUUCAUUUUGCAGGUGAGAAAUCACUCUGGAAUCUGAUGAAGAACUUAUUCUCUAGCAGAAUUUUUAAAUUCAAUGCUUUGAAAAGUUUUUUUUUUGUCUUAUCAAUGUUCUUAUUUGUUUUCUUUCUGGUGCCCCAGCAUAAUGCCUGUGGUAGACUGUAUGUAUCAGAAUAAGUGUGUACUGUUUGCUUUUUGCUGAAACUUCAGUCUAACACUAUGGACUCUAGGUGAUAUAUUUGCUGCAAAAGGACUUUCUUUCACAACACAGAAACUUUGUUUGUUUGUUUUUUGUUUGAAGCAGAUCUUGUUCUGUAAGAGGAAUAGAGAGAUUAUAUAGGGGUUUCCUAAGUGGAAAAAUAUUGUAGAAGGAAUUGCAAUGCCAAAAAGUAAAAACUGUUCUCCCUAAAAGUAUACGUGCAUGUGUGCAUGUGUUUGUAUGUGUGUGUCUUGUAUAUAGACAUAAACAAUUACACUUGUAGUUGGCAUAAUGCAUAAUGCCUACUCAUGCUGUUGACAGUUACUUAAUAAUGCACAUUCUGCCAUUCUCUCCAGCUGAAUUCUUAAGGCAUUACCAUGGGAAUUUUCCCUUUUUGGGGAUUGCAACAGAGCUCUAGGACUAGCUGUUUUUGUGAUGUGCUUCUUGACUGGCUGGAGUAGCCUUUAUUCAGGAACUCCAUCCAAGCAUCGCCUGCAGAGAAUGAAACCAUCAGCUGUCCUCAAAGAGGAGCUCCACGCUGCAGCAACGCUUAACGGUGAGCCUUGUGCCUUUGAGUCUUUCAGGGUAAUGGGAUCUUGUAUUUUAGCAUGCUCAAAGCAUGGCUAGGACGUUAAAUUCCAGCAUAUCACUGUAUGAAGUGGGAUACAGUCAAAUGUACUUUUCAGAGAGGUAGCCUUUAGCAACCAUUGUGCUCCUUCAAGGAUCUAAGAACUCUCGAUAGGUAAACAAGGCGAAACUCUGAAACUGCAGCCACUGCAGUCUGAAAUUGGCUGAGGUCUGCAGUCUUGCUGUCUUUCCAAAUGAUAGCUUUUCUUCUGUUCUGACAGUGUCAGAGACUUGCCCACAAAAUAAGCAGUCCUGUACCCUUGAAAAUUAGCAAUUGAGUCCAGUCAAAAUAAUGAGAUGGUCCUAAAAAUGGGAAGAUUAUCUUUCAUGUUUAAAUUGAAGUCCUUUUAAAGGGACAGACUUUGCUGUAUUGGUUUGCCAACUUUGAUUUUGCGUUUAGCUCACGUCUUGAAGACUUUCUGUGGGGAUUAUAGAAAGGAAUAGAAAAGGUGGAAACUCAGCUUUUGUUAAAAAACGAAAAAUAGAUAACUCUGUCUUGCAGCCUCUUGAUUUCUGCAGCUAAAAUUCUCUGAAACAUUUGGUUUAGCAUCAUUAUGAUGACUAGAAGUGAUGACUAUGGGUUUGGAGUCCUUUGUGUUUUAAAUAAAAUUUGGAGAUGUC